rnacentral:sRNA from 1 species
AAUGGUACUUCUCCGAGAAAACCGGAGCCGGAUAGCGCGGAGGCGUGACCCGGUGAAGCGCGGCUUAGGCUGGGAUACGCCUUUGGCGGCUUCA